rnacentral:rRNA from 1 species
CCUAGGGUGGCAGUAGUGAGGAAGAGUGGGCAAGGGGAGAGAGCCGGAACCAGCCAAGCCGAGUGAGGGAAGACGGACCUAGGGGGUGUAAACCUCUUUUGUCGGAGAACAAAACCCGGGACGUGGCCCGGACUGCGGGUACCCGAAGAAAAAGCAGCGGCGAACCCCUGGCCAGCAGCCGCGGUAAUACGGGGGAUGCGAGCGUUAGCGGGAUUUAUUGGGUUAAAAGGGGGCGGAGGCGGUCCGUUAAGUCAGCGGUAAAAUUUCGGGGCUCACCCCCGUCGAGCCGUUGAAACUGGCAGACUUGAGUUGGCGAGAAGUACGCGGAAUGCGCGGUGUAGCGGUGAAAUGCAUAGAUAUCGCGCAGAACUCCGAUUGCGAAGGCAGCGUACCGGCGCCAGACUGACGCUGAGGCACGAAAGCGUGGGGAUCGAACAGGAUUAGAUACCCUUGUAGUC